UACGAGGGGGGCAAGCGUUGUUCGGAAUUACUGGGCGUAAAGCGCACGUAGGCGGCUUUGCAAGUCAGAGGUGAAAGCCCGGGGCUCAACCCCGGAAUUGCCUUUGAGACUGCAUCGCUAGAAUUGUGGAGAGGUAAGUGGAAUUCCGAGUGUAGAGGUGAAAUUCGUAGAUAUUCGGAAGAACACCAGUGGCGAAGGCGACUUACUGGACACAUAUUGACGCUGAGGUGCGAAAGCGUGGGGAGCAAACAGG
rnacentral:rRNA from 1 species